rnacentral:rRNA from 1 species
GUCCUACGGGAGAAAGCAGGGGAUCUUCGGACCCUUGCGCUAAUAGAUGAGCCUAAGUCGGAUUAGCUAGUUGGUGGGGUAAAGGCCUACCAAGGCGACGAUCUGUAGCGGGUCUGAGAGGAUGAUCCGCCACACUGGGACUGAGACACGGCCCAGACUCCUACGGGAGGCAGCAGUGGGGAAUAUUGGACAAUGGGCGCAAGCCUGAUCCAGCCAUGCCGCGUGUGUGAAGAAGGCCUUAUGGUUGUAAAGCACUUUAAGCGAGGAGGAGGCUACUUUAGUUAAUACCUAGAGAUAGUGGACGUUACUCGCAGAAUAAGCACCGGCUAACUCUGUGCCAGCAGCCGCGGUAAUACAGAGGGUGCAAGCGUUAAUCGGAUUUACUGGGCGUAAAGCGCGCGUAGGCGGCUAAUUAAGUCAAAUGUGAAAUCCCCGAGCUUAACUUGGGAAUUGCAUUCGAUACUGGUUAGCUAGAGUGUGGGAGAGGAUGGUAGAAUUCCAGGUGUAGCGGUGAAAUGCGUAGAGAUCUGGAGGAAUACCGAUGGCGAAGGCAGCCAUCUGGCCUAACACUGACGCUGAGGUGCGAAAGCAUGGGGAGCAAACAGGAUUAGAUACCCUGGUAGUCCAUGCCGUAAACGAUGUCUACUAGCCGUUGGGGCCUUUGAGGCUUUAGUGGCGCAGCUAACGCGAUAAGUAGACCGCCUGGGGAGUACGGUCGCAAGACUAAAACUCAAAUGAAUUGACGGGGGCCCGCACAAGCGGUGGAGCAUGUGGUUUAAUUCGAUGCAACGCGAAGAACCUUACCUGGCCUUGACAUAGUAAGAACUUUCCAGAGAUGGAUUGGUGCCUUCGGGAACUUACAUACAGGUGCUGCAUGGCUGUCGUCAGCUCGUGUCGUGAGA